rnacentral:tRNA from 1 species
GGAGAGGUGUCCGAGCUGGCCUAAGGAGCACGACUGGAAAUCGUGUAAGGGGCUUAUACCUCCUUCGAGGGUUCGAAUCCCUCCCUCUCCGCCA